rnacentral:rRNA from 1 species
CGCGUAGGCGGCUAAAUCGGUCGGGUGUGAAAGCCCUGGGCUCAACCUGGGAACUGCAUUCGAUACUGUUUAGCUGGAGUAUGGGAGAGGGUAGUGGAAUUCCACGUGUAGCGGUGAAAUGCGUAGAUAUGUGGAGGAACACCCGUGGCGAAGGCGACUGCCUGGCCAAAUACUGACGCUGAGGUGCGAAAGCGUGGGUAGCGAACAGGAUUAGAUACCCUGGUAGUCC